rnacentral:rRNA from 1 species
GUGGGGAAUAUUGGACAAUGGGCGCAAGCCUGAUCCAGCCAUGCCGCGUGAGUGAUGAAGGCCCUAGGGUUGUAAAGCUCUUUCACCGGAGAAGAUAAUGACGGUAUCCGGAGAAGAAGCCCCGGCUAACUUCGUGCCAGCAGCCGCGGUAAUACGAAGGGGGCUAGCGUUGUUCGGAAUUACUGGGCGCAAAGCGCACGUAGGCGGACAUUUAAGUCAGGGGUGAAAUCCCGGGGCUCAACCCCGGAACUGCCUUUGAUACUGGGUGUCUGGAGUAUGGAAGAGGUAAGUGGAAUUCCGAGUGUAGAGGUGAAAUUCGUAGAUAUUCGGAGGAACACCAGUGGCGAAGGCGGCUUACUGGUCCAUUACUGACGCUGAGGUGCGAAAGCGUGGGGAGCAAACAGGAUUAGAUACCCGGGUAGUCC